rnacentral:tRNA from 1 species
GGGCAGGUACCGAAGUGGACAAACGGGGCUGACUGUAAAUCAGCUGGCAAAGCCUUCGGCGGUUCGAAUCCGUCCCUGCCCA